rnacentral:rRNA from 1 species
CGUGUAGGCGGCCAGACAGGUCCGUUGUGAAAACUCGAGGCUCAACCUCGAGACGUCGAUGGAAACCGUCUGGCUAGAGUCCGGAAGAGGAGAGUGGAAUUCCUGGUGUAGCGGUGAAAUGCGCAGAUAUCAGGAAGAACACCUAUGGCGAAGGCAGCUCUCUGGGACGGUACUGACGCUGAGAGCGAAAGCGGUGGGGACGCGAACGA